UACGUAUGGGGCAAGCGUUAUCCGGAUUUACUGGGUGUAAAGGGAGCGUAGGCGGCGGGGCAAGCCUGAUGUGAAAGCCCGGGGCUCAACCCCGGGACUGCAUUGGGAACUGCCCUGCUGGAGUGCCGGAGGGGCAGGCGAAAUUCCUAGUGUAGCGGUGAAAUGCGUAGAUAUUAGGAGGAACACCAGUGGCGAAGGCGGCCUGCUGGACGGUGACUGACGCUGAGGCUCGAAAGCGUGGGGAGCAAACAGG
rnacentral:rRNA from 1 species